rnacentral:rRNA from 1 species
AUUGAACGCUGGCGGCAGGCCUAACACAUGCGAGUCGAGCGGGGUUUUCGGACCUAGCGGCGGACGGGUGAGUAAUGCGUAGGAAGCUACCCGAUAGAGGGGGAUACCAGUUGGAAACGACUGUUAAUACCGCAUAAUGUCUACGGACCAAAGUGUGGGACCUUCGGGCCACAUGCUAUCGGAUGCGCCGACGUGGGAUUAGCUAGUUGGUGGGGUAAUGUCUCACCAAGGCGACGAUCCCUAGCUGGUUUGAGAGGAUGAUCAGCCACACUGGAACUAGGCCACGGUCCCGACUCCUACGGGAGGCAGCAGUGGGGAAUAUUGGACAAUGGGCGCAAGCCUGAUCCAGCCAUGCCGCGUGUGUGAAGAAGGCCUUCGGGUUGUAAAGCACUUUCAGUAGGGAGGAAGGAUGUUGUGUUUAUAGCACAGCAUUUUGACGUUACCUACAGAAGAAGCACCGGCUAACUCUGUGCCAGCCGCCGCCGUAAUAC